CAGGGCUUGCAGUCAGGAAAACCUCUGAUACCCGCAGCCUUGGGAUCAUGGUUAGAUUCUUUUCAAGGCAGUGAAAUCCCAAGUCUCUGUCUUUUCAUGCUGAUUGGUUUCUGGAAAACAAAUAUAUCCUUUGAAAUUUGAAAGCAGAGAGCUCAAGGGAGAAAACUUGGACCCAGAUGAAGAAACUGGAAGGUCAAUCACAAGUAACAGACAUCAGAAGGGUGAGAGUGCACCCUAAGGUCUUCUAACAACAACGCUCAGGAAAUCAAAGACAAAGACCAAAUGGUCCCCACCCUCAAGAGGAAUUGGAAAGAAAGACAUGAAGAGAUAAACCAAUACAAAAUAUGUAUAAACCGUACAUAUGUGUACAUGCAAUAUAAUAUAAAUGAUGUACAAAGUGA